AAAAUAAUUAUGACGAUAUUCAAGACAAUGAUCAUGUAUAUAGGCAUCACAUCUAAGGUAACUAGACCGACUUCUGCGUGCAUCUACUUCUAUUACUCCACACAUCGACCGCUGUCCAGCAUGCAUCUAGUGUAUUGAGUUCAUGGAGAAACAGAGUAAUGCCUUAAGAACGAUGACAUGAUGUAGACAAGAACUAUUCAUGUAGUAAUAGACCCCAUCCUUUUAUCUUUGAUAGCAACGAUACAUGUGUGUCAUGUCUCUUUCUGUCACUGAGAUUGAGCACCGCAAGAUCGAACCCAUCACAAAGCACCUCUUUCCAUUGCAAGAUAAAAGAUCAAGUUGGCCAGACAAAAACCAAAUAUCGGAGAAGAAAUACGAGGAUAUAAUAAUCAAGCAUGAAUAU
rnacentral:lncRNA from 1 species